UGGCCUCAGAUUGAACGCUGGCGGCAUGCUUUACACAUGCAAGUCGAACGGUAACAGGCCGCAAGGUGCUGACGAGUGGCGAACGGGUGAGUAAUGCAUCGGAACGUGCCCAGUCGUGGGGGAUAACGCAGCGAAAGCUGCGCUAAUACCGCAUACGAUCUAUGGAUGAAAGCGGGGGACCGUAAGGCCUCGCGCGAUUGGAGCGGCCGAUGUCAGAUUAGGUAGUUGGUGGGGUAAAGGCUCACCAAGCCAACGAUCUGUAGCUGGUCUGAGAGGACGACCAGCCACACUGGGACUGAGACACGGCCCAGACUCCUACGGGAGGCAGCAGUGGGGAAUUUUGGACAAUGGGCGCAAGCCUGAUCCAGCAAUGCCGCGUGCAGGAAGAAGGCCUUCGGGUUGUAAACUGCUUUUGUACGGAACGAAAAGGCUCUGGUUAAUACCUGGGGCACAUGACGGUACCGUAAGAAUAAGCACCGGCUAACUACGUGCCAGCAGCCGCGGUAAUACGUAGGGUGCAAGCGUUAAUCGGAAUUACUGGGCGUAAAGCGUGCGCAGGCGGUUUUGUAAGACAGGCGUGAAAUCCUCGGGCUUACCUGGGAAUUGCGCUUGUGACUGCAAGGCUGUAGUGCGGCAGAGGGGGAUGGAAUUUCCGCGUGUAUCAGUGAAAUGCGUAGAUAUGCGGAGGAACACCGAUGGCGAAUGCCAUCUCUUGGGGCCUGCACUGACGCUCAUGCACGAAAGCGUGGGGGAGCAAACAUGAUUAAAUACCCUGGUUAGUCCACGUCCCUAAACGAUGGUCGCUGGUUUGUUGGGCUCUCUUCUGACUUCAUUAACUAAUCUAAACGCGUGUAAGUUGAUCCGCUUGGGAAUAACGCGCCCCAAAGGUAUAACUUAAAGGAAUUUGCAGUGGACACUGCAUAAGCGGGUGGAUAGUGUGUUUAAAUUCAAAGCACAGCCUGAAAAACUCUUACCCUCCCUAUGAAAUGUUACAGUAUUCUGUCCAAGAAUGGGCUAUAAUGCUUCGUAAGAGAUAGCGCUAAACCCGGCUGCUAGAUCGUCCUCAGCUCCCGUGUGCCGGGGUGACAGUGGGUAUAUCA
rnacentral:rRNA from 1 species